UUUGCGCUUUGUAAUUAAAGAAAUUGCAUGUAGUGUUAUGAGAAAUGUAAAUAAGUUACGCGCAAUUUAUUUUUAGUUAUUCAUACUAUUAAGUUCCAUACUAUUAAGUUAUGUAAUCUGCGCAUGAGAGCGUUAAAAUAUUCUAUGCGAACAUCGUUGUAGAAAGAUGUCAAAAGAAAUUGUCAAAACUGUACACCGCUAUCCAAUAUGUAAUCCGAAUACAUUCAUUAAUGACGCGCUUACCGAAAGUCUGGAUACUCUACCUGUGUGCGAGGAGAAGCUACUCUCUUUUACUGCUCUCCCAAUUCAAUCGUGGUCCAUUGUGUCCUGCUUUAUGGAGUUGCCGGUUACGGUCAAAGAGGAACUUGCUGUCAAGGACGCACAUUCUCUAUUAAGGGCAUAGACAUCGCCUGUGACAAUGAAACGUCUAUUAUGUACCAGCUCUGCAAUCAAUGGUUUAGCUAUCUGGGUCAAGAGAGUGUUGCCCUGGGGUCAGUACUACGCAUAUAUCCAACAACAAUGAGCCUGGGGCUUCAGAGGAAGUUAAGGAUAAUAUCCUCUACAAGAAGGUUUCUGAACCGGAUUAGCUGUCUUGGAUUACAGGAAUUGAAGUUUCAUUAUCGGUCUAGCUGUAGCAAUUGUUCUCAUUGGUUUUAUGAGAACCUACCACUUCAGUGCUUAGGGACGCACCUAUUCAUUUGAAGUGACACUUAAUGGUUUCUCAAUCGAAGCAUUCAAGUUUGAAAGAUAUUUUGAGAUUCCAUCCAAGAACGAAGUUUUUGCACUUCAAUAUCAGUGUCAAAGGCGCUACUACAGACCGGCAUUCCGAAGGAAUUGAUUGCAGAUGGCUUUUACUCGAUUGGAGCAACGGAUAGACAAGUGUAUCCAUUCGAUGCAUCAGUAGUCGAACUCCCAGUUCGAACUCGCAACUGCGAGACGCCGCUCUCUCUUGAAGAUAGAAGUGUAACAUUGGCAUCCCAAAGGCUGGGACAAUGGCCGUCACUUAUACGACUAUAAAAAGGAACAAUUUAUUCAGUGACGAUCAGUGAUUUGAAACGCGUCUCAUGUAUACCUAUAUAUACAUAUUUAUGUAAUAAUUCCGAAUUGAAUAUCGUACGAUAGCAUGGAAUUACAAUCGAUAGGAUAUAUACUGUAUUAUCUGCAUAGAAAACAGAUUCGAUUAAAACCAAUUAAAUACGUUA